AUACUUACCUGGCAGGGGAGAUACUAUGAUCACGAAGGUGGUUUUCCCAGGGCGAGGCUUAUCCAUUGCACUUCAGAUGUGCUGACCCCUGUGAUUUCCCCAAAUGUGGGAAACUCGACUGCAUAAUUUGUGGUAGUGGGGGACUGCGUUCGCGCUCUCCCCUG
rnacentral:snRNA from 1 species